rnacentral:sRNA from 1 species
GCCGGGCAUGGUCGUACACACCUGUAAUCCCAGUGGCUUGGGAGGCUGAGGCAGGAGGAUCUGGAGUUCAAGGUCAGCCUCAGCAACUGAGUGAGACCUUAAUCAACCCAGUGAGACCCUGUCUUUA